UCGGCAUUAUAUAUCCUUUAUUAUUUAAUUGCUUUUGCACUCAAUGAACACAGGUAGCAAUAUUUGCAUGUUAGCUUAUUUCAAACUAGACAUUAACGUUACUACAUUUAUACAUAAGAUGUGGACAGUAUAUUAAAACAGAUUUUAUCGGCAACAGAUUAAAGAGUACUCAAGGCUCGUUAAAUUUUAUUGGCUUGAAUUCUUGGAUUAAGUUUAAAUAUGAGAAGCACAUUGAUUGUCUUCUACUUCUCCACGAUGUCAUUAAAAACAUUGACAAAUAACAACAACCUCAAAUUUUGUUCUUACAACUGCACCAGCCAACAGGAUGUUAUAGCUGAAUGUAUCCCUAAUACGCAAAAUAGGAAUUAUACCAGCCAGCUUGGUACUUGUGGGGCGGAAGGACGAAAAAUUCACUUAUUUAUUUGACAAUUUUUAAAAUAUAAUUGAAUUCGAAACAACAUUACUAGAUAGUGUGAAAAAAUUCCUUUUAAACGAAACAACUUUUAUUCUGCUAGCAACUCAGCUCACACACAGAAAAACGAAAUGUACGUAGAUGAAAUGAGAUUUUUUAUACCAAGAA